rnacentral:rRNA from 1 species
AUUGAACGCUGGCGGCAGGCCUAACACAUGCAAGUCGAGCGGAUGAAGGGAGCUUGCUCCUGGAUUCAGCGGCGGACGGGUGAGUAAUGCAUAGGAAUCUGCCUGGCAGUGGGGGAUAACGUCAGGAAACGGGCGCUAAUACCGCAUACGUCCUGAGGGUGAAAGUGGGGGAUCUUCGGACCUCACGCUAUCAGAUGAGCCUAGGUCGGAUUAGCUAGUUGGUGGGGUAAAGGCCUACCAAGGCGACGAUCCGUAACUGGUCUGAGAGGAUGAUCAGUCACACUGGAACUGAGACACGGUCCAGACUCCUACGGGAGGCAGCAGUGGGGAAUAUUGGACAAUGGGCGAAAGCCUGAUCCAGCCAUGCCGCGUGUGUGAAGAAGGUCUUCGGAUUGUAAAGCACUUUUAGUUGGGAGGAAGGGCAGUAAGUUAAUACCUUGCUGUUUUGACGUUACCAACAGAAUAAGCACCGGCUAACUUCGUG